GACGAACGCUGGCGGCGUGCUUAACACAUGCCAGUCGAACGGAAAGGCCCUGCUUUUGUGGGGUGCUCGAGUGGCGAACGGGUGAGUAACACGUGAGUAACCUGCCCUUGACUUUGGGAUAACUUCAGGAAACUGGGGCUAAUACCGGAUAGGAGCUCCUGCUGCAUGGUGGGGGUUGGAAAGUUUCGGCGGUUGGGGAUGGACUCGCGGUUUAUCAGCUUGUUGGUGGGGUAGUGGCUUACCAAGGCUUUGACGGGUAGCCGGCCUGAGAGGGUGACCGGCCACAUUGGGACUGAGAUACGGCCCAGACUCCUACGGGAGGCAGCAGUGGGGAAUAUUGCACAAUGGGCGGAAGCCUGAUGCAGCAACGCCGCGUGCGGGACGACGGCCUUCGGGUUGUAAACCGCUUUCGCCUGUGACGAAGCGUGAGUGACGGUAAUGGGUAAAGAAGCACCGGCUAACUACGUG
rnacentral:rRNA from 1 species